UAGGGAAUCUUCCGCAAUGGACGCAAGUCUGACGGAGCAACGCCGCGUGAGUGAAGAAGGAUUUCGGUUCGUAAAACUCUGUUGUUAGAGAAGAACAGCGCAUAGAGUAACUGUUAUGCGUGUGACGGUAUCUAACCAGAAAGCCACGGCUAACUACGUGCCAGCAGCCGCGGUAAUACGUAGGUGGCAAGCGUUGUCCGGAUUUAUUGGGCGUAAAGCGAGCGCAGGCGGUCAAUUAAGUCUGAUGUGAAAGCCCCCGGCUCAACCGGGGAGGGUCAUUGGAAACUGGUUGACUUGAGUGCAGAAGAGGAGAGUGGAAUUCCAUGUGUAGCGGUGAAAUGCGUAGAUAUAUGGAGGAACACCAGUGGCGAAGGCGACUUUCUGGUCUGUAACUGACGCGGAUGUGCGAAAGCGUGGGGAUCAAACAGG
rnacentral:rRNA from 1 species